GUCCCUGAGCUGAGAUCUGUCUCUCUCCCCUGUAAUUCAGCUCUCUCUCCUUUUUUCCCUUGGAGCUACGAUCACUUGGUCUUCUGGAAGCCAGACCUGUGCUUGCAGUUCCCAGGGAGCCUGGAGCCAGAGGAGGUGUGUCCUGGAAGCCUCAGAUAUCUUCCUCAGGAGAUGGUGAUGUUCAAGGAUGUGGCUGUGGACUUUACCCAGGAGUAGUGGGGCUUCUUGGACGAUCCUCAGAAGGAGUUGUACAAGGAGAUCAUGUUGGAGAAUGCCUGGAACCUGCUCUC